rnacentral:rRNA from 1 species
AGUCGAGCGAAUGGAUUAAGAGCUUGCUCUUAUGAAGUUAGCGGCGGACGGGUGAGUAACACGUGGGUAACCUGCCCAUAAGACUGGGAUAACUCCGGGAAACCGGGGCUAAUACCGGAUAACAUUUUGAACCGCAUGGUUCGAAAUUGAAAGGCGGCUUCGGCUGUCACUUAUGGAUGGACCCGCGUCGCAUUAGCUAGUUGGUGAGGUAACGGCUCACCAAGGCAACGAUGCGUAGCCGACCUGAGAGGGUGAUCGGCCACACUGGGACUGAGACACGGCCCAGACUCCUACGGGAGGCAGCAGUAGGGAAUCUUCCGCAAUGGACGAAAGUCUGACGGAGCAACGCCGCGUGAGUGAUGAAGGCUUUCGGGUCGUAAAACUCUGUUGUUAGGGAAGAACAAGUGCUAGUUGAAUAAGCUGGCACCUUGACGGUACCUAACCAGAAAGCCACGGCUAACUACGUGCCAGCAGCCGCGGUAAUACGUAGGUGGCAAGCGUUAUCCGGAAUUAUUGCGCGUAAAGCGCGCGCAGGUGGUUUCUUAAGUCUGAUGUGAAAGCCCACGGCUCAACCGUGGAGGGUCAUUGGAAACUGGGAGACUUGAGUGCAGAAGAGGAAAGUGGAAUUCCAUGUGU